ensembl:lncRNA
AUGCUAAGCAGCACAGUCUGUUGUUUUGUUGUCCAUGUUGCUAAGCGACCAUCAGCAAGUCAAAGGCUGAGAGAAAAGACAAAUCCCAAAAGAAAACGAGACGUGGUGGAGGGCAGGAAAUUGCAAGUUUUUAAGAGCCAGUCUCUGGUGCUUCUGUGUAGACCAAGGUGCAGUGUUCGUGAAAGCAAAAUGUGGGACACGAGGUCUCUCGAGAAGAUGGUGAAUAGGACGACUCUAAGCACACAGAGAGUGCUCCAUGCACACAUUCUGGAACUAGGAGAACAGUUAUGUCCAUGGUCAUCUCCCAGUGCUCCAAAUCUGGUCAAUCCACAGCCUGUGACUGAACAAGAGCAGCCUGACGUCCCCACCAUGGAGGAAUUUAAGCAGCUGGCAGAGAAGGAGAAACACGCUGCCCUUAAACUCCAAGAGGAGGAGUGUGUGAGGAGGUGUGUGCAGGAUGCUGAGAGAAGCUUUCGUGAGGAGUGUGACAUGAAGGCAGAAAGACAGAAACAGGCCCUACAGGAAAGACAUGAAGAGAAGAUAUCUAAGCUACAAAACAGGAUACAGCAGCUGCAGGACAGUCUGGAGCAGGCCUGCAGGGAGCGCAUUCAGUAUGAAGCAGAGUUUAAGAAGGUGCAGGCCAGCUACAGGCGGUUUGUGGACCUGACUGAUUCCUCCCUCCACUCUGAUUACCUCUUAAAACUGCGCAGACUGGGGAGAGAGCCAGGUCUCACGGACACUGCGACACAGACUGAUGAGAUCACCUCCUAGCUUGUGAUGGCAGUGUGCACACUGUCUGGGUAUUUGACAUGUCAUAGCAGUCACAGCAGUGUCCUGCACGACACGCUGUACUUUGUCUAAAACCAUUUGAAACAUGUAUUAAUGUUAAAAGAUUGUGGUAUCUAAAAUAUACUUUCACUAAUACAUUUAUCUUUACAAAGUAUUUUUUAGUAAUGAAACAUGUCAACUCUUUCAUAAUAAAUAGAAUAUGUAUUGUGUUGCA